AUUACGUUACCUUGGCAACCAGUCAACAAUUCUGUAAGACUGCGGCUGAACAGGAUUUGUUAAGUUCAUUAAGAUUAAUUACUCAUCCUCAACAAACUGCUAUCAAUAAUCUAUUCAUAAUGAGUCAAAACGAAAAUCUUCAUCAAACAGAAGAGAAGCAGGCAGGGUUUUGUUCUGCGACAUGCAUUGACAGACCAAGUCUGCAGCACGCUAUCAAACAACCUCCUUUGAAGACCUCCGAUAUGUUUGCGACUUGCAACUUACCAAAGCGAUUUGAGCAUCCACAUUGGUUCAACGGGUACGGUUGUCAGAUGAGUAAGCAGAACCCGGUGUACAGAACAUCGUCUAGUGACUAUGGAUGGUACCCACCAGGAACGCAUUCGGUUCCCUCAGGAUAUUAUCCUAGAAAUCAACAAUUCAGCAACUUUCUGGCGCAAUCUGGAAUGUACAGGAACUACUCUCUCAAUAUAUAAUCAGGGAUUCGUCGCUCAUUAUACAUUAAGUAUUAUCUAUAGAAUAAUUUGUGUUCUUUGUUUUGAGCGUAGACUAUUUACUUGCCUAGAAAGAACGUUCUGCCCAAAAUGAUAGACGUAAAUAAAUAAUAUAAGUUUUCAGUCAUAUGUUAUACAUUCUUUAUAAAUAUCCAAUUUUCAUUAUGAAGGAUAUAAAUUUAAAACCGUCAACACUGUAGGUGUAAAGAAUAGAUGUUAGUACAUUAAAUAUAUAUGUGUUCAGAAGAUUUAGUUAAGUUUAUAUUAAGUUUAUUGCAUGUUCAUUAUUAUUUAUUUAACAAUUUAAUGUACAAAAGAUGUUUUUGUAAUCAUUUUGUAAUUCCUGCCAUAGUGAUAUUAAUCAUGAGAUUUAAACACUGUAACACAGACAAACACCACGUGUUAACUAGACGCUCUCUAGACAAGUAAAUAAUAUAGGGUAUUGAAUUAAUGAUUGUUUCUUAAGUAUUAAUAAUGUUCAAUUUCUUAUGUAAUUCUAAUAAAAUUAUUCUUCUUCA